rnacentral:snoRNA from 1 species
AUGCAGUGAAGAGAAAUUUGUGCAGAUGGUGGUGAUGGGGUCACCACAACAGUUCCGAUCUUCGGAAGGAAAAAUUGCACAUCCGAGCGU